CUAAUUUUAUUAUUUCUUUUCUUUGCUUGCCUUAGGCAUAAAUUGCUCUUCUUUUUCUAGUUUCCUAAGAUGGAAACUUAAAUUAUUGAUUUUAGAUGUUUCUUCUUUUCUAAAAUAUCAUUUGUUAUAAAUUUCCUGCUAAGCACCGAUUUUGCUGCAUCCCACAAAUUUUGAUAAGUUGUAUUUUCACUUUCAUUUAGUUCAAAGUAUUUUGAAAUAUUUUUCUUGCAACAACUUCUUCGACCAGUAUGUUAGAGAGUCUUGUUUAAUCUCCAGAUAUUUCGGGGUUUUCCAGCUAUAUUUCUGUUAUUGAUUUCUAGUUUAAAUUCAUUGUGGUUGGAGAACAUACUAUUUUUUUUUUAAAAUUGGCCCCUGAGCUGACAUCUAUUGCCAGUCUUUUUUUUCCCGUUGCUUUUUCUCCCCAAAGCCCCCCAGUACAUAGUAGUAGAUUCUAGUUGUAGGUCCUUCUUGUUGUGCUACGUGGGACACCGCCUCAGCAUGGCCUGACGAGCAGUGCCAUGUCCACGCCCAGGAUCCGAACCGACAAAACCCCAGGCCACCAGAGCGGAGUGCACAAACUUUACCACUCAGCCAAGGGGCCAGCCCAGGAGAACAUACUUUUAUAUGACCUCUUUUUUUUAAUUCCUUCAAGUGCAUUUUAUGCCCCGGAAUAUGGCUUAUCUUGGUGAAUGUUCCAUGUGAGCUUGAGAAGAAUGUGUAUUCUGCUCUCAUUGGAUGAAGUAUUGUGUAAGUGUCAAUCAGGCUGAGUUGAUGGAUGGUGCUGUCCAGGUCUGCUGUAUCCUUACUGGUUUCCUGCCUUCUGGAUCUAGUGAUUUCUGAAAGAGGAGUGUUGAAGUCUCCAGCAAUGGCAGUGAAUUUGUCUGCUUCUCCUUGCAUUUCUGUCAGGUUUUGCCUCACAUGUUUUGACGCACUGUUGUUAGGUGCAUAGAUGUUUAAGACUGUUACGUCUUCUUGAAGAAUUGGUGCCUUUAUCAUUACAUAACACCCCUCUUUAUCUCUGGUCAUUUUCCUUCCUCUGAAGUCUGCUGGUCUGAAAUUAAUGUAGCUCCUCCAGGUUUCUUUUCAUUGGUGUUAGCGUGGUUUAUCUUUCUCCAUCACUUUACUUUUAACCUAUAGCUUCAUAUUUAAAGUGGGCUUCUUUUAGACAACAUACAGGUCUUGGUUUUUUGAUCCACUCUGACAAUAUCUGUUUUGUUUUGUUUUCUUUGUUUUUGUGAGGAAGACUGGCCCUGAGCUAACAUCUGUUGGCAGUCUUCCUCUGCUUUAUGUGGGAUGCCACCACAGCAUGGCUUGACAGGCGGAGCUAGAUGCACACCUGGGAUCCAGACCUGCGAACCGUGGGACCCCAAAGCAGAGUGCUCAAACUUAACCACUAUGCCACUGGUUGGCUCCAAUAUCUGUUUUUUAAUUGGUAUAUUUAAAUCAUUCACAUUUAAAUUGAUUAUUGAUACCAUGGGAUUAAUAUCUCUUUGUUUUCUAUUUGUUGCACUUGUUCUCUGUUCCUUUUUUCUCCCCUCUCUUUCGGCCUUUUCUGAUUUUAAGUGAGCAUUGUGUAUGAUUUCAUUUUCUCUACUCUCUUAGAAUAUCAGUUUUUUACUUCUUUUUAAAAUUUUUUUAGUGAUUAUCCUAAAAUUUACAAUGUACAUUAAUAACUAAUCUAAGUCCACUUUCAAAUAACACUGUACUGCUUCAUGGAUGGUACAGGUACUUUAUGGGUGGAACAGGUACUUCAUGGAUAGUACAGAUACUUCAUGGAUAGUGCAGGUACUUCAUGGAUAGAACAGGUACUGCAUGGAUAGCACAGGUACUUCAUGGAUAGUACAGAUACUUCAUGGAUAGUGCAGGUACUUCAUGGGUAGUACAGGUAUUUCAUGGAUGGUACAGGUACUUCAUGGGUGGUACAGGUACUUCAUGGGUAGUACAGGUACUUCAUGGAUGGUACAGGUACUUCAUGGGUAGUACACAUUCUUCAUAUAUAGUACAGAUACUUCAUGAUGGUACAGGUACUUCAUGGGUAGUACAGGUACUUCAUGGGUAGAACAGGUACUUCAUGGAUAGAACAGGUACUUCAUGGAUAGAACAGGUACUUCAUGGGUAGUACAGGUACUUCAUGGAUAGUACAGAUACUUCAUGGAUUGUACAGGUACUUCAUGGAUAGACCAGGUACUUCAUGGAUAGAACAGGUACUUCAUGGAUAGAAUAGGUACUUCAUGGAUAGUACAGGUACUUCAUGGAUAGUACAGAUACUUCAUGGGUCGUACAGAUAGUUCAUGGGUAGAACAGGUACUUCAUGGAUAGAACAGGUACUUCAUGGGUAGAACUGGUGCUUCAUGGAUAGAACAGGUACUUCAUGGAUAGUACAGAUACUUCAUGGGUAGUACAGGUACUUCAUGGAUAGAACAGGUACUUCAUGGGUAGAACAGGUACUGUGUAAUAGACUAUUCACAGUCCCUUUGUACGGUCCUUUAUAAUGUUGCUUUCACUCAUUUUGCUUUACCAUAUGCUGUAAUCACCCAAUUCACUGUUGCUAUUAUUACUUUGAACAAAGAGUUAUCAAUUAGAUCAAUUGAGAAUAAGAAAUGUAAAGGUUAUAUUUUACAUUAGCUUAUUCGUUUCCCAAUGCUCUUCCUUUCUUUAUGUGCAUCUAAGUUCCUGACCUGUAUAGUUUUUCUUCUUCCUGAGUAACUUCUUUUAACAUUUUUCUAAGACAAGUCUGCUGGCAAUAAGUUCUCUCAGUUUUUGUUUGUCAGAGAAAGUCUUUAUUUCUCCUUCAGUUUUACAGGAUGAUUUCACAAGAUACAGAAUUCUAAGUUGGUAUUUUUUCCUUUCAACGCUUUAAAUCUUUCACUCCACUCUCUUCUUGCUGUCUUGGAUUCUGAUGAGAAGGCCAAUGGAAUUCUUAUCCUUGUUUUUCUCCUCUGGCUUCUUUCAUGAUUUUCUCUUUGUCUUUGUUUUUCUGAAGUUUGACUAUGAUAUGUUUAAGUGUAGUUUUUAUGGUGUUUAUCCUGCUUCUUGUUCUCUGAAUUUCCUGCAUCUGUGGUUUGGCAUCUGUCAUUAAUUUUGGAAAAUUCUUGGCCAUAAUUGCUGCAAGUAUUUCUUCUGCUCUCUUCUCCCUUUCUUCUUCUGGUGUUCCAAGUAUGUGGAUAUUACACCUUUUGAAAUUGUCCCACAAUUCUUGGAUAUUCUAUUCUGGGAGUUUUUUGUUUUGUUUUUUCAUUAUUUUUUCUCUUUGCCUUUCAGUUUGGGAAGUUUCCGUAAGAUAUCUUCAAGCUCACUGAUUUUUCCCUUGAUUGUAUCCAGUCUGUUAAUGAGCCCAGUAGAGACGUUCUUCAUUUUUGUUACAGUGUGGGUUUUUUUAUUUCUAGCAUUCCUUUUUUAUUAUUUUGUGGUGUUUUCAUCUCUCUGCUUGCAUCACCUGUCCUUCCAUGUUAUCUGCUUUUUCCAUUAGAACCUUUAACAGUAGCCAUGGUUAUUUUAAAUUCUAAAAUCCGUGCCAUAUCUGAAUCUAGUUCUAAUGCUCGCUUUGCCUCUUCAGACUGUAUUUUUUCUCGCCUUUCAGCUUCGCAUACCUUGUGAAUUUUUUUUGAAAGCCAGACAUCGUGUGUCAGGUAACAGGAAAUAGGAGCAGAGAUAAGUAGGUGUUCUGUGUGAGGUUCUGCGUUAAUCUGGCUGGGAGCUGGACUCUGUUUCAUAUUUUCGUUAGCUGUGGGUGUCAGACACUUUCAUUUCCUUGAGUGUCCUUGUUUGUGUCUCCCCUGUUGUCUCUGUGAUUCCCUACAAACUGCUUCUUAAGUAGAAUCUGCACCUUGCAGCUCUUUCAGCUGUAAUCCACUGUUGUUAUACAGUACCUGUGUUGGGGCCAUAAGAUAAUGGGGAGAGAGGAAAUGUCCUAUAGUCCUGUGCUUAAAUCUCAGUCUUUUAGUGGGCCUGUGUCCCUGGGCUGUGACUUCCACAAGUGUUUCUCAGCAUUUUCCCCCCUCAGGUGAGACAGGAAGUCUAGCCAGGGCUGGAUUUGGGUAAUUUCCCUUCUCCCUAGUCAGAUAAGGCUCUGGCAAAGUCUCUCCCCUGCUGAAAAGGCCUUUGUUAUGGAGGAUGCUCUGGGCGGAUUUCAGAGUGGUUCCUUUUCCCCUCCCCCUGCCAGAAACGCAAGUGUUUCUUCUUGGCUCUUCAUAAUGAGAAUUUAGUGAGGUUCCUGGAAGUACAACCUGCUAAAGUGUGGAGGCCUCUGUUAGACCACAGCCCCCAGGAGUUACUCUAACUCUAGUCCACACCCAGCCCCUGGCGGUUCGUCAGUUACCAUUUUAGUCUUCCUCCCAGUUUAUGGCUCCAGCAGCUUCUGUACCAGGUAAGCUGACCUCAUCUGUGUUCUCCUGUCUCUCCACAUUCUGAGAUGACAGUUCGCCCUGCAACCUCAAUUUGCUGGUGGCUCCAAGAAAAGUCAUUAAAGUUAUUGAUUUUCAGUUUGUUCAGCUUUUUUCUUUUUUCUUUUCUUUUUUUGGAAGAUUAGCCCUGAGCUAACGUCUGCCACCAAUCCUCCUCUUUUUUCUGAGGAAGAUGGGCCCUGAGCCAUCUGUGCCCAUCUUCCUCUACUCUAUAUGUGGGACACCUGCCACAGCCUGGCUUGACAAAUGGUGCAUAGGUCUGCACCCAGGAUCGAACCAGAAACCCCAGGCUGCUGAAGCAGAACAUGUGAACUUAACUGCUGUGCCACCAGGUUGAUCCCUCAGCUUUUUUCUUAUAAGGACAUGAGUGACAACUUCCAAACCCUUCACAUAUCAGAACUGAAGAUGGAAGUCCCAGGCCGGCCCCGUGGCCGAGUAGUUAAGUUCACGCGCUCCACUUCGGUGGCCCAGGGUUUCACCAGUUUGGAUCCUGGGCGCGGACAUGGCACUGCUCAUCAGGCCACGCUGAGGCGGCGUCCCACAUGCCACACCCAGAAGGACCCACAACUAAGAAUAUACAACUAUGUACCAAGGGGCGUUGGGGAGAACAAGGAAAAAUAAAAUCUUUAAAAAAAAAGAACAGAUGGAAGUCCCCCAGUAUGUAUUAUUUCAAAUUAAACAUGUAUGUAAUUAUAUUAAUUAGUCCCUCUUACUUGCAAUAAAUUUCAUGAUGCUAGGGCUUCUCAGUCACCAUUGUAUUAAUCCUAAACCUCCUAAAAUAACUGUUGUUAACAAUUUGCUGUGAUUUGUAAUUUUUUAAAUAAUAAUUGUUUAUAUGUGUGUAUAUAUCUGUAUCUAUGUGUGUGUGUACAUACACACGUAUAUAGAUAUGCAUACAUUUUUAAUGUGGGUAUGAUGUGUGUAUAAUACUAUGUUGCAACUUUUUUUCUAUUUAAUAUUUUCCUUCCUUUUUCUUUAAAAGCUAAAUUUAUUUCAAAUGAGGUUUAUAUUCAACUGACAAAACUAUAUUUUUCUUCAGAAGUCCUGAAAUUUUAUCUGUUAUUUAUAAUCACUCAUUUUCUUCAAUAAAAAUUUAUUAAGUGGGGACUAUAUUCAAAUUCUGUGAUUCUAUUAAAAACUUAGGCCAAGGGGCCGGCCCGGUAGUGUAGGGGUUAAGUUCGUACAUUCCACUUUGGUGGCCCAGGGUUCAACGGUUCAGAUCUCGGGUGCGGACAUGGUACCGCUCGGCAAACCAUGCUGUGGUAGGCAGGCGUCCCACAUAUAAAAUAGAGGAAGAUGGGCUCAGAUGUUAGCUCAGGGCCUGUCUUCCUCAAAAAAAAAAACCUAG
rnacentral:lncRNA from 1 species